rnacentral:rRNA from 1 species
GAUGAACGCUGGCGGCGUGCUUAACACAUGCAAGUCGAACGAAGCAUUUAAGACAGAUUACUUCGGUUUGAAGUCUUUUAUGACUGAGUGGCGGACGGGUGAGUAACGCGUGGGUAACCUGCCUCAUACAGGGGGAUAGCAGCUGGAAACGGCUGGUAAUACCGCAUAAGCGCACGGUAUCGCAUGAUACAGUGUGAAAAACUCCGGUGGUAUGAGAUGGACCCGCGUCUGAUUAGCUGGUUGGUGAGGUAACGGCCCACCAAGGCGACGAUCAGUAGCCGACCUGAGAGGGUGACCGGCCACAUUGGGACUGAGACACGGCCCAGACUCCUACGGGAGGCAGCAGUGGGGAAUAUUGCACAAUGGAGGAAACUCUGAUGCAGCGACGCCGCGUGAGUGAAGAAGUAGUUCGCUAUGUAAAGCUACUAUCAGCAGGGAAGAUAGUGACGGUACCUGACUAAGAAGCUCCGG